GGUGUAGCUCAGUAGUAGAGCAUAUGUUUAGCAUACAUAAGGCCCUGGGUUCAGUAGCUAGCACC
rnacentral:tRNA from 1 species